UCCCUGGUGGCUCAGAUGGUAAAGAACCUGCCUGCAAUGCAGGAGAUCUAGGUUCAGUCCCUUGGUGGGGAA
rnacentral:tRNA from 1 species